AUGAAAACGCUGAGCUAUUUGAAGCUGAAAAGAUGGAGAAAAUGAUUCAGAUUCACAGAGAAACCAAUCUCCUGCUUGCAAUUUUAUGCCUAGGCAAACUCAAUCAAAUAUAAAUGGAAAAUGAAGAAUAACAACAAGUUCAUACCUGUUGACUGCCAAAACCACAUCUUCAAGCCCUUGCUCAGAUGGUAACUAAUGCUUUUCAGUUUCCCUGUGAAAUAUGGAGACAUGUAAGCCAGAGAAUUUGACUUCAACUGAGGAAGAGAAAAUGGAAUUCUUAGACUGUUGGGUCCUCAAAUCUCUUGAAGAUUAAGCACAUCUCCAACUAAGGCCUCACCAGGCAGACCUUUGCUAUAUAUGUGCCAGGGGCCUAGCACUGACCAGCUUGUGGCUCAGUCUCUGGGAGCUCCCUGGAGUCUUGAAACGAUUUUGGAUCAACAGAUUUGUAGGUUGAUUUGCAGGUUGAGAUUUCAGUUGGUUUCGCCAUCCCUCCACUCGGACAUUCUAUCUAACUACUGAAGCUUCUGAGAUCUAAAAUUUGCUCCUCAUGCUUGAAAGGCAAGCAUUUAUGACUGCGUUGCCACUCCAGCCCCAAUUUGUAUCUUAAAGUUGUAAAAUCUAAUUUUGAAGAAAUCAGAAAGACAUUGUCUACUGAGUAGCUCCCCUCAGGAUGAUUUUUUCCCCCUGCUGGCUCCCUUUUUCUUCAUUAUUUUAAUGGCUACAUCUUUGCUCUGAUGUGUCAAUGGAAGUGGAAAAUCCAGUGAAGCCAGAGCUUAGAGAAACGCCAGCUGGAACAGAAGGAUAAAGUUUCUUUGGAGAAGCUUCAAAGAGAUGCGGGCUGGGUGAUUGAAAACUUGUUGCUCUUCAGGAUCAUAUCAUGACAUCUAAGCUACAUAGAAGGUAGGAGGAACAGAAACGAGGGAAAACACAAAGAACAACUAUCUCUCAGCUGGAGAAUGAUUUUUCUCUGUGACUUUGAGCAAACUUCUGUAUUUCCUUUUAUUCUUGGUAUUUAAAAUUGGAAUUAAACUCCUUUUGCAACUUA
rnacentral:lncRNA from 1 species